AGCCAGCCCAACCUCGACGGAGGGUGGGAGGACUAGAGAUUGCGUUCAAUUCGGUGGCAAAUGAGUCAACCAAUAGUGCCUAUGUAAUGAAAACUCUGGACGCCAAAAUUUGGUGGAGCUUCCUGGUUGGUGAACACAUCCAUGUGCCAGGAGGGUGACACAGCCUGAUUCACAGAGAGAAGACACAGAAGCUCUGCAUGGGAGACCCGCCCAGACCCCGCCCUACGUGUGUCUUCAUUAGUCUGGUCCUCCUGAUUUGUAUCCUUUGUAACAAGCCUGUAAUCAACUUUCUCAGUUGUGUGUGUGAGUACGCCUGGCUUUUCAUCAAAGAGCUUUGCCGUCUUGAUGCUUCCUUUUCUGUGAACACAGCAAUAAAUAGAUUCUGCAGAACAAAUGACCAGGAGAAAGGACUUUGUGCUCCUUCACCUCAGAAACCUGAACUCAGAAUUUCCUUGUAGACACUUUUCAGGCCUUUGUUUGCUGGAGACUGGAGUUCCCUGAGAGGAUUAAGGGUGUGGUGGGGAGUGUCUAAAGGAGCCCAGUGCCUUGAGGGCAGCCAAGAAGACAGAGGCCCUGGACUGGAUACCGGCUGAGGUAGGUGGAUCCCUGUGGGGUGGAGACCAUCCCCAGCUCCACAGCCCCAGGCAUGUCAAGGGCUAUCAUCAAGGCCUCAGAGGAGACCAGCUGCCUGGGGCACCUCAGGAAGCUGUACCCUGACACCUGGACUCCAGAGUCCACAAAUAUAUCUGUACCCAAACCAGUGGGCAAGCAAAGAAGCCCUUGCCUUUGGGAGACCUCAGGAUGUUGACCAUGAGAACAUCAUGGAUGGGCGCGCUGGCUCGCUCCUGUAAUCCCAGCACUUUGGGAGGCCAAGGCAGGUGGAUCACCUGAGGUUAGGAGUUCGAGACCAGCCUGGCCAACAUGGUAAAACCCUGUCUCUACUAAAAAUACAGAAAUUAGCCAGGCACAGUGGCAGGUGCCUGUAAUCCCAGCUACUCGGGCGGCUGAGGCAGGAGAAUCGCUUGAACCUGGGAGGCAGAGGUUGCAGUGAGCCAAGAUCAUAUCACUGUGCUCCAGCUUGGGCAACAAGACAGAAACUCCAUCUCAAAAAAAAAAAAAGAAAGAAAAGAAAAGAAAUCAUGGACUCCAAAAGGCCUGAAGUGGAGAGUCCUGAAGCCAUCUCAGACCAUGAGGCCACCCUAAGGGUAGAAGGAAGCACACUAAGAUGACAGGAACAGAAGACAGGAGCCUGGGUCCAUCAUGCCAGGGAGCCUCCACACCUGCCCUGGACGUUUCAUCUCAGACCUCGUGGACAAAGCAGAGAAAUAAAUAUCUACCUUGUUUAAGCCACUUAUUUUCAAUUUUUUGUUUCAAGCAGGCUUUUCAUGAAGGUCCCAGUCUGACAGCAUUAAUUGGUGGGCUAGAAUUUGUGGACGGUUUCCAUGUAUGUAUUCUGCAAAACCAUCCAUAAGAAAGAGUUGAACAAGUCUUGGGACUAGCUAGAGAAGUGGGCAAAAAAAGAGAGGAAGUGGCCGGGUGCGGUGGCUCACGCCUGUAAUCCCAGCACUUUGGGAUGCUCAGGCAGACAGAUCACGAGAUCAAGAGAUUGAGACCAUCCUGGCCAACAUGGUGAAACCCCGUCUCUACUGAAAAUACAAAAAUUAGCUGGGCGUGAUGCCAUGCGCCUGUAGUCCGAGCUACUCGGGAGGCGGAGGCAGGAGAAUCACUUGAACCCUGGAGGCAGAGGUUGCAGUGCGCCAAGAUCGUGCCACCGCUCUCCAGCCUAGCAACAGAGUGAGAAUUCCGUCUCAAAAAAAAAAAAAAAAAAAAAAAGAGAGAGAGAGAGGAAGUAGCCUCUCCACUGCCCCUGCCAUGCCUAGAAGGUUCCCCAGCAUAAGAAGAGAUCAUUUGCAUCUCAAACAGCACAAUAGGCAGCCUGCUGGGUGGCCGGGGAAACUGUCCAAGACAGGACCGUACCAGAGGCCUUUUCUUGUCCUUUGAAUAUUUCAACUUCUGUUCAGGAAGGCUUGGGCUUUCCCAGGACAAAAUAAUUUUUAACAUUUUAUUUGUCUUAUUAAAUAUUAAAUAAAUAUAUUUGUAAAAGAUACAGACAUGAAUAACAAUGAUACAAAGAAUGACAAAGUGACCUUUUAAAUUUGAGACCAAUUCAAUCUAAAACAAUCCAAGCCACCUGUAGCUGUUGGUUUGAUUGCAAUAACCAAUACUGGACCAUGGUUACUUAACCUAUCAACCCAAGAAGAAAUCUUUCAUAACUGUGAUGAUCACAAAGGAAAUAUAAACAUGGCUAACCUGUGUCAUGAAAAAUGGGAGCUAAUUAAGGUAUCUGAAAUGAGUGAGGAGACUGAGGAUGUUCUGAAGGAAAUGCAGGAAGGAGAAUUAGCCUAAGUGCAUCCAUGUUGAACUUAUACAUAAAUCUUUCCUUGGUUGGCAAGAGUCCAGAAUAUGAUAUCACAGUGUGUGAAGGAGGCUGAGAGGAAACAGACUGUCCCAUGCAUUGCUGGCAGCAGUGCAGAUGGCACAGUUCUGUGGAGCAGACCUGCAAUAUCUACCAGAACUAUACACGCACAAACCCUUUGACCCAGAGAUCCCCCUUCUGGGAAUCUAUCUUAUAGAUUCACCUACACAAAGGUAAACUUGCUUAGGUAUAAAGUUAUUCAUUGUGGCAUUAUUUAUAAUAACAACGGAUCAGAAACAGCCCAACAACCCAGCAAUAGGAGACUGGCGAACACACAGCUCUGGUCGAUCCACCAAUGGAAUACUAUAGAGCUGUCAAAAUGGAAAAGGCAGGAGGAACAGCUUUACGUGGUGAUAGGGAAGGAUACCCAGUAUAUUUAGUUACGAUUUUAAAAGGAAGGAGCAAGAUGUAUAUAACAUGCUUUUUUUGUGUAAUGAAAGAGGAAAUAAAAGUAUUUUAUUUA